ensembl:snoRNA SNORD57 small nucleolar RNA, C/D box 57
UGUGAAUGAUGACGCCUCUUUUCCUGACUUCACUGAGGGUAUACACUGAUUUAAUGAGCCUGACGC